ensembl:snRNA U6 U6 spliceosomal RNA
GUGCUUACUUCGGCAGCACACAUACUAACAUUGGAACCAUAAAAAGAAAAUAAGCAUGGCCUCUGUGCAAGGAUGACAAACAAGAAGGGGGAAAAAGUGACACCUAUAUUU